rnacentral:tRNA from 1 species
GAUCGGUAGUUCAAUGGGCAGAACACCUUGACAGGACUGAGGAAGACGGAGGUUCGAACCCUUCCCGACCG